GUGCACUGUUUACUGAGGAGGAUGGCUGCAUUAUGUGCAUUCUUCCAUCAUUACAGUGCUAGAUGAGCCUCAGUUUGCAGAAGGGCUGCGCCAAAUAUUGGCACCUCCCUUUCGAAGACUGAGAACAUGC